CUCUCUUUUAGGGGUACUUAUGCCUCGGUCAGGGAUAGUUAUGCCCUGAGCCAGAUGCGGGUUUUGUUCGUUGGCCGCCGGGACCCUGUCUGGUACCUGGGAGAGCGGGUACGUAUGCAGACGGUUGGGGCUUUUUCGGUGCCUAGGCCUCCGCCCGCGACCAUGCUGUCUACUCGUUCGAUAGGCGAGUCGUGGAGGGUCCACUCGAGGACUGGCGUGCCGGCGACGGAGUUGGUGAUAGAGGGAGCUAGCUAUUAUUAGUUUAUCCAGGAUUCUCUUCGUCUCCCGGAGCCUGGCGCUGAGUGUCCUGACCCUUCGUUGGGGGGAUGGGUGCUUCCCGAUGCUCGGAUCUCGUAUACCGGAGAGAGUGGAUCCGAGAUUGUGGAGACUUUCCCGGAAGACCGGGUUUUCCAUGCUCCGCUCCCUGAGGGAGUACAGGCGGUUCCGGCCCGUACGGCCAACGCGACGGUGGGGGUGAUCAACCGGUUGAAG